AGCCUUGACCAAUCAAGGGCUAUGUCACGGUGACGCUGCAUGAUUUGUCUGGGUGGGUUAGUCCUAUCACUUACGAGGUUUUGAGCACGACGGAAGAUCGCGCGAAACGAGAACAUAUAAACACAAAAAAGUUAUUAUUCUGGAAUUUUCUUACUAUUUUCAUUCAUUGCUCCAUACAAUGGCUGGACGUCGCCUCGCUUUCAGUACCCCCGAGACUCCUCAGGGACGAAACGCUUCAAGUCCCACAACGGACCCUGCUGGCAGCUAUCAGUGGGCUUUCGCGUCAGUGAAGUGAGUUCUCUGCCGAUGUCUCCCGGGAGUUUAGCUCUAUCAACGAUAGAUUGCAGUCUUUGGAAGCUGCUCGACGGAGGAAUACAAAAGGAAGAGGCGUCUGCAUAAUCCCAAAAUUGCGGUAAGAAUUAAUUCCCCAAAUGAAAUCACUUAAAGUGUUUCGACACUAGUUUGUUCACGGAGUAAUUUUUUUCUUGCAAUUUGUAGGAGGCAGUCCGUCGGCUACAUAAAUCACAAGCAAACUGUAGAUAAACUCAUUUUUAGUUUGAACCCUGGCUGCAAGCCCGCAAUUGACUGAUGAAGGUCUAGAUAAGAGUGCCUUUGUUGUGGCCUGCAAGACAUAUAUUAUGAAACUCUGCACAGAAAUUUCCGGUACAGCCAAUCAGAGCUAGUCAGUGUGGCUGCAUCUACUAAGACCUUAGCCCGGAGUCGCCAGAGGAGGAAGAGGCUGUUGGAGGCUAGGCAGAGUGUACUGGCUGCGGACGAGGUGGACUUCUGGA